GCGGAAGUAGUGCACGGCGCACCACUGCAUUCAAUUACCAAAAUCCCUGGAAGUUGCAAGCAGUAAUCCGGGGUUCGACUCCCCGCGUCCGUC